UGCUCACUCCGGAGAGUCUCCUCGCUCCGAAGAACAAGGAUGAACAGGAGAAACUGAGAUGCUGGCACCAUCAAUGAUUGUACAGUGAGUAAAAGAAGGAGAGGAUGCAGGCGCUGCAGGAAUCAGAGGCAGGGAUGGGGCGUAUGUGAUUCAAUGAUCUCUU
rnacentral:lncRNA from 1 species